AAUUCCUAGUGGCGAACGGGUGAGUAACGCGUAGGCAACCUGCCCUUCAGACGGGGACAACAUUCCGAAAGGGAUGCUAAUACCGGAUACGAAGCUUCUGCCGCAUGACGGAAGCUUGAAAGGUGCCCUCAAGCACCGCUGAAGGAUGGGCCUGCGUCCGAUUAGCUGGUUGGUGGGGUAACGGCUCACCAAGGCGACGAUCGGUAGCCGGUCUGAGAGGAUGAACGGCCACAUUGGGACUGAGACACGGCCCAGACUCCUACGGGAGGCAGCAGUGGGGAAUCUUCCGCAAUGGGCGAAAGCCUGACGGAGCAACGCCGCGUGAGUGAUGAAGUUCUUCGGAACGUAAAACUCUGUUGUUCACGACGAACGGGGGACCAGGAAAUGGGUUCCCAGUGACGGUAGUGAACGAGGAAGCCACGGCUAACUACGUGCC
rnacentral:rRNA from 1 species